GCCAGACUCCUACGGGAGGCAGCAGUGGGGAAUAUUGGACAAUGGGGGGAACCCUGAUCCAGCGACGCCGCGUGAGUGAAGAAGUAUUUCGGUAUGUAAAGCUCUAUCAGCAGGGAAGAAAGAAAUGACGGUACCUGACUAAGAAGCCCCGGCUAACUACGUGCCAGCAGCCGCGGUAAUACGUAGGGGGCGAGCGUUAUCCGGAUUCACUGGGUGUAAAGGGAGCGUAGACGGCCAUGCAAGCCAGGGGUGAAAGCCCGGGGCCCAACCCCGGGACUGCCCUUGGAACUGCAUGGCUGGAGUGCGGGAGGGGCAGGCGGAAUUCCUGGUGUAGCGGUGAAAUGCGUAGAUAUCAGGAGGAACACCGGCGGCGAAGGCGGCCUGCUGGACCGCAACUGACGUUGAGGCUCGAAAGCGUGGGGAGCGAACAGGAUUAGAUACCCCAGUA
rnacentral:rRNA from 1 species